CAGAGCCCGGCGCCAUGGCAACGAAUAGAGACAGGCGUCAGCUGCCAAUCCAAGGCCGAUUGCUCUCCUUUCCGCUGGCCAAUAGGAGCCCCGAUUCAUCGAUUGAAGGAAAGAAACGCAGAUGGAGGCGCGGCUGUGGGAGCUUUAGGUAGUGGUGCUGAAGAUUGGUAGAAGAUACACACAGCUUCUACAUUUGUACCGCUCUGGGCUCUGAAAAGGCGACACGGCGACCAUCCAUGGUGCGGCGCUGGAUUUCUCCUCCUUGUCUCUGUCUCAUGCUGUAUUGACAGCAUGUGAAGCGGCUGCUGCAUCAGGGAGCGUGGUUUCCAUAACCGAGGAUUGCUGGCUCAUCGGCGCAUCUGUAGAGUGGGGAAGCUGUUAAGAGAGGAGCUGGGCCACAUCGUGGAUGUUUGUAGUUCCAGGCUGAUCGGAGUUCCCAGUCACGUAGCCACUCUCAACAUGCGCUGCUUUCCGUAUUGAGCGCUUCUUACCGACCCGAAUUCAAUGCGCUGCUUUCUUAAACACGUGUGCACGGAAAGCAGCGCAUCUGAGCGUGGCUGCGUGCUAUCGAGUGCUAAACUGCAAGCGGACACACAGUGCGGGUUUAAGAUAGCACAGAAAGCAGCGCAUUGAAUUCGGUCCUUUAAUAAACCUGUGCAAGCUCCAGGCCAAUUAUACAGCU